UAUUAGUCCAAACCAUGCCAAUCACACAAACCACAGGCCCUUACCAAUAAAAAAAAUCCAACCAGGUUCCUUGCCUUUUCCCUCUCUCGUCGGAAGCUUCUCACCGUCACGAACCAGGUCGUGAAACUAUGGAUCGGAAAUGGAUGUCUGCAAAUCGAUUGACUAAGGAAUAUGAGGAUGGAGUGAAAAUGUUUAUUAGGUUUGCUGUCGAGCAUGAAAAAGACCCUAGCAGAAUUAUAUGCCCGUGCUUAAGAUGUUGUUAUGCAAAGCGAAUUAGUGCGGCUGAGUUGGAAGACCAUUUAAUAUGUUACGGAAUUGAUCAAAGCUAUACAUGUUGGACAAGGCAUGGUGAGACAAGAGGAUCUCGCACGAAGUAACCCUUGUUUCACACUAUAGAGUAAAAUUUAGAAGAAAUGAGCAAGGGAUGCUUGGGAAAUGGAUGUUUGGGAGGAGUUAGAGUCAAGACCAUGAACUUGCAGAGGUACUCCACCAACCAUUUGAGGCUUUCUUUUAGGAAGUUAGUGUUAGGAUUUCUUUCUUCAACCUCUAAUCCGGCAUUAAUGCUUUAUUACUUUCAAUUUGUCAGAAAAUAAAUUAAUGACCGAUCCCUAUACUUCUAAUUGGUUAGUAUUUUUCUAGACAUUAAUGCUAUCACAAAAAUUGAUCUAAAAAAAUGUAGGUACACAAAAAGUAUGCACAUUGGACAUCAAAAUUGUUGAUUUGAGUUUGGUUAUAUGUCUAUUUUUGUUUAAAUGAAGGUUAUCCGGCAUACCUAGUGGGCAUUUAAGGGUAUAGGAUAGAUAUAUAUGAGCUAAUCACAUCAAAACACCACGCACAUAAUUUUAAUUUUAGGUACUUCAACCAUCUGGAUAAGCCAUGAAGAAAAUGAAAGCUUUCAAUGAGGUUGGUGUGGAGUACUGGAGUGGGGGCAUUCAGCAUGUGCAGGCUUUACUUUCAAUGAUUUACUGAUAGCCUAUUCUGAUAAACUUUUUUCUUAGAAUCUAUUCUCACAUGCAAAAACUAUUUCAUAUAAACUUUUCUCAGAAUCAAGGUGGAUUGUAGAAUCAAUUCAAGAAAGAUUUCAUAAUAUGGAAUUAAUAGCAAAACAUUUUGGAUUUGACUCCUCUAAAGUGAGAGUAAAGUAAGUCACCACAACUAUCAAUAGUGAUUACCUCUACUUUGAAAGUUAAUAAAACAACUCAAUUAUUGGUUGUGAUGACUUAUUAUAUCUUGUCUCUCACUUUAGAGGAGUCGGAUCCAAACAUAUUGGCAUCAGGUCAUGGAACUGAGCAGAAUAACAAGGACCUACCUUGCGGUCCAUACUGCCACUGUUCUUUCUUUUGUUAGCUUUUAAGAAGAUAGUCCAGACGAGGUUGCUUCCACGAAGGUAGUGUUAAUGGGAAGGGAAUGCCAAAUAAGGAACACGUAACACAUAAAAAGCUAUGCAUGAUUUGUAUGAGCACUGUGUUUCGUUUUGUCUCACUGAUGCAUACAAUUUGGAAUAGUGAAAUGUUGUCCAGUCCAAAUAUAAAGGAACCAAUCCGGUGCCUGUCUGUAAGAUUAAGAGCCUUUAGCAGCAUAAUUAUUAGUACUAAUGUUGAUUUGCCCACUACAUUUUGUAGCUACAUUGUCCUGUUUCCUAGCUUUGCUUCAGUGAUUUGUUUAUUUUUUAUAUUAGGGUAUGACAACAAAUGUUGUCAUGGGUGCACACAUUAAACAAUAAAUGUCUAAUUACGAAAUGUGUUUCAUCUUAU